rnacentral:rRNA from 1 species
UACGUAGGGGGCAAGCGUUGUCCGGAGUUACUGGGCGUAAAGGGCCCGCAGGCGGUCGUGUAAGUUUGUACUGACAAUCCCGUGCUUAACGCGGGAGGGUGUAUGAAAACUGCACGACUUGAGGAUGAGAGAGGGACAGGGAAUUCCGGGUGGAGUGGUGAAAUGCGUAGAGAUCCGGAGGAACCCCGAAGGCGAAGGCACUGUCCUGGCUCAUUCCUGACGCUCAGGGGCGAAAGCUAGGGGAGCGAACGGG